rnacentral:piRNA from 1 species
UCAGCAGCUAUACAUAAAGUCUUUGGGAA